CCCUUAGACACUCUAGGCGGCACGCGCGCUACAAUGGGUGGAAGAACGUGUUACUGCCUCCGAAAGGAGGGGUGAAUCACGAAUUCUUGCCCGUGAAUGGGAUAGUUUGUUGCAAUUUUCGGACUUGAACUAGGAAUCCCUUGUAAACAUGCUCAAGAAUAGCGUGUUGAAUACGUCCCUACCGUUUGUACACACCGCCCGUCGUUUCUUCCGACUGAUACUCAUUGUGAGUUGCAAGGACCCUUUAUUGGGAAAUUGCUGCAAAUGCUUUGUAUUGGAGGAAGAAAAAGUCGUAACA
rnacentral:rRNA from 1 species